rnacentral:lncRNA from 1 species
GAGUAGACCGUGUAGAGGACGUGGUCGGUGUUCACAAAGCAGUCCAGCAUCUCCUCCUCCGCUUUGGCCUGACGCCAGAAGAAGGGUGGCAACGAAAUAGAGAUGGAGAAGACCCACACCAGCACGAUCAUGAUGGCCGCCCUUUUGGGAGUCCUUUUAGCAGAAUAUUCCACCGCAUCAGUGAUGGCCCAGUAGCGGUCCAGGGCGAUGACACAGAGAUGCAUGAUGGAAGCAGUGCAACAGGUGAUAUCCGACGACAGCCAGAAGUCGCAGACCACCUGGCCUAGUGUCCAGCGUCCAGUGACCGUGUACAUGGUGCUGAUGGGCAUCACCAGGAUGGACACGAGCAGGUGAAAUCAUCAGUGAAGACUCCAGCACUGAACAACCCUUUCCUGUAUAGCGAUAGCCCAUAGCCAGGCUCCUCUCAAACAGCCUCACUAUCUCUGAAAGUUGGGCCAAGUAACUCACUAAAGCAAAAUUUCAAAGCAAAACUCCUGCAAGUAUCAUUUACAAGAAGGAUCUAUGCAAGGUACAAAGCAAAUCUCAAGCAAACUGAAACUGACAGUUAAUCAAAAAAGAUGAUUAAGAAAAUAACUGUAAUCAAAGGAAAUAACUUCUCCAUCAACAAUCAGUGGCUUUCAUCAGAGUAUUAUGUCACAGCAACAGAAGAGAAACGAGGACAACAUCAAUAAAGUUGCAUUGCAUAAAUUUGCCAGCACCCAAAUCUAACUUGACCCUCCCAAGUAUACAGAGCCAUGUUCUAUCUUGUCCUUGUCAAAUACCCACAUCUUUCUCUCAGGUACUUCCAAAGGCUGAUGGCUGACACCUUGGCAACAAAAAUGUAUAAUUACAUUGUCUUGAUCCAUUCUUCACUCAGUAGAUUAUUGCUUUGGAUCCUAAGUGCCAAUAUUUUUUCUGUAUAUAUUAAAUGAAAAGGUCUAAGACAGUGGUGACUUCUCUUGUUAGAAAAGUUUACUUUUCUGACAAAUGUAUACUCUACUUUCAAUAUUAGAGUAUGCUUUUAUUAUGUCUAAUUUUUUCUCUACUACCGCUUGACUAUAACAGACUAGUUAUGAGAAUUUGUCCUAAGGUAGUAAAUUUUAAGGCUAAAACUUAGGGCUGUGGUGAGUUCUCAGGUAAUUGUCAGUUUGUUUCCAAAAAGAGUAUGAGACCCCAGUUCUCUCUCAUCCUUCUUUCUGCUUCUUAAUCAUGAGGUAAAGCAGUUUAACAUUUGCCCCAUCUUGGUCCUCUGGCAUCCUUAUAUCCAGUCCAAAUAUAGGUUAACGAAAUCUUAGAAUUUCCAAUCCAAAAGCAUGAGCCAAUAUGCACCUUUUAUAUUCAUUAAUCAAUCGUUUAACAUUUUGGUUGUUAUAGUAACAAGAAGCUAACUAACAAAGUCCCUUCAUGUCCUGAGAGAGGGAUCAUAUAUUUUUUUAAAUGUUUUUUUUUUGGUGUUAUUUUCAUUAUGUUUGCAUUUUAAGUAUGAGUGUGCAUAGAAAAUUGGCAUUUAGUUGAGUAAGAUUUACAAAUUUAAAAUUGCUGAGUAUUUUGGGCCAUAAAGAUUGGGUUGUCAUUUGUUUUAUGUUUUUGUGCAUAUGUAUGUUUAUUUUUACUUGUUAUCACUGUUUUAUUGUUUAAAAACAGAUGAAUUC